GCCCGCACUGACUUUUUUGUAGAUCUUAUUGAGAUACAUGUGUGUGUCAAAUUUUGUGUCAUUUUGACAAAGCGUACAGGCGUGACACUCAAUAGUGUGAAUUUUCACCUUAGGGGGCGCUAUGGAGCCAUUUUGCAUUUUCUUGUUUGGGCGACUUCGGAAUAUCAAAUUUUUCACCAGGCCCGGUCGUCCUGCCAAAUUUCAUGAGUUUUCGCCAGUGGGAAGUGGGCCAUUUUCCAGUUCAAAGGGGAGGAAAAAGAAAAAAGAAACAAAGAAAAACCCCUUGGGGAAUAAUAGGGCUCUCGCAGCUGCUUAGCAGCUACGCUCGGGCCCUAAAUAAGAAUUGUGAGUAUUUUGAUCAUGAAAGUGUUGCUAAGGUUGUAUGUUGUACACCAAACUGGCAUUUAAUCACUCCGUUUUUGUGAUGCCAAACAGCACAGGAAUGUCUACAUUAGCCUGCAGGAAGAACAAAAGUUGUUGGUGCUAGCUCUGCUAUUGUUAGCCACAUUGGAAAACCAAGUUUUACACUUUUUCAACAGACCCUGCAAAUCUGUGUUCAGCCUUAAUGAUUAUCUGUGUCCAGUCUGGACAGUUUUCUUUGUGUCGUUGUUUACAUUUUUAGACUGGUUGGCUAGAUGAAGUUUAAAGAUUUUUUGUUUUUUAAUUACUGGGAAUGUUGUUAACAUGGAAUAUACUGAGGCAUGACUGUUAUGUAAAGAAUUUUUGUCAUUAGUUGAAAUCAUUUUUUGUGUAAAAACGUAGCUGUGAAAACAGUUUUAUUUAUAUAUUUAUGUUCUUUCUUCAUCAUCCAAAAUGUUGUCCAUGAGUUUGACAUUAUCGACAUCCACAUUGUCAGUAAACCAUGUACCCUUAAAACAACCCACCAAAGCUUUUAAAAGUAAUCAUAAUAAUGAUGCAUCAGAUUUUAUAGCACUUUUUGUCAGUGAUGACAAAGCGCUUUACAUCGGAUACAUCAGUCAUUCGCUCACACAGUCACACCCUGGAGGUGGUAAACUACCGUAGUAGUCACAGCUGCCCUGGGGCAGACUGAUGGAAACGUGGCUGCCGGUUUGCGCCUACGGCCUCUCCGACCACCACUAUAGAACACUCACAAUCAAACACCAGUGGAGGACAAACACUGGGAGCAAGGUGGGUUAAGUGUCUUGCCCAAGGACACAACCGACAGACUAGGGAUAGGUGGUAAUCAAACUACCAACCUUCCAGUUAUUGGACAACCGCUCUACCUCCUGAGCUACUGCUUUUAAAGCAGAAUCUUGUCCAGAGGGUUGGUCAGGGCCUAGAAUCCUCAUCCAUAAUCGGUGUUUUACCCUGUUGCAGGCAACUUCUUGUACUGUGUUGCCACAGGCUUCUCCAAGUGUACCUUUUCUUAAGUCAGCACUCUAAAUCUGCUGUCAGAAAAUUUUAUUUAGUAUUGAUUUUGGCGCUCCCUGUGGCCAAAAAUAUACAACCCAAAGCUUUGCAGAUCUUUUUCUCAGUCAUUCAACAAAAAUGUAAAGAAAAGCAAUUUCUUCAGCAUGCUGUGAGUCUUCUCACAGGCACCAGAGAAAAACUCCUCAUGGAGGGUAUCAGCUGGAGAAAAAUACUGAACACAUUUAUUCUGCGAGACAGGUCUGCAGGAGAAGAUUUAGUUUAUCAAAAUUUAGGGCAAACUCUAGCUUUCGCUCUAUAUAACUUUCAAAAAUACAUUUAUUGGUAAUAUUUCACUAAGUAUUGCCAGUCUGGUGUGUUACUUUUUGAAGAGGAAGUCUAACAGAGGAAUUUAACAUCUGAAGAAACUUGAGUGUUAAGAGUAGAUAUGACAGGUGGAGACAGAAAUAGUUACUAUAUUAUAGGUAAAAAACUUUCUUGCACCCCUGCAUGAUCCAGUAACCCUGUUUCGCCACUAAAGUGAAAAAAAUGGUGGAUAGGUUUAAUGAAACUGGAUAUUAAUGUUUGUGAUGCAGUCAGAUAGAGGAACAAGACCAUGUGAAUCACUGUAGCAACUGAUUGAGAUUUUGUUGCACUCUCAAAAGCAGAGAUAUCUAUAAAAGCCCAAAAGACUUAAUAGAUAGAUCACAGAUUAACAUUCAAUUUUUGCUUUUUGAUCAAUAUUGAAAUAGUCCAUUUUCUGUUUCGUGUCACUGUCAUGUUUCUUCUUCCUGUUGUUGAUUUCUCUGUCAUUCAGUUCUUCAGAAUUCUCAUCGUCUUUCAUGCCUUUCUACUUCCUCUUCAAUCUGAAGUGCAUCACUUCAUUAUUUGCAUCAGUAGCCUGCUAUUCCAUUAUGACAUAACAUGGACAACAUAAAAUUCCCUAACCAGAACUGAUAUCCCUAGAUAGCUGUAUCAUCAUCCACAAUCAACAUUUGAAUUUAUGUUUGUUUGGCUUUAACUAUUAAACUUGCGAUAGAUUUUGUGUGAACACCUUUUGUUGACACCUUUUAGACUAAAUCUCAGUGGUAAAGGUAUUCACUUGUUGUCUACAACAGUACCUUUGGUGUACCACAAGGUUCAGAUUUAGGUCCAAUGUUAUUUUCUAUUUAUAUGCUGCCGCUUUGCUAAAUAAUUAAACACCACACUGUCUCCUAACUUUGCUAUUUUCUAUUGGGCUUUUUGUUGAUUUGGUCAUUUUGCUGUUUGAGUUUCUUGUGUUUGAUUGUUUACUUUUGCUUGACUGAUAAAAACACUUGGUUAACGUUGUGUUUUUUUAAACGUCAUAUAAAUAUACUUUUUAGGUAUGGCUCAGACAACUGGAGUUUUGUUUAAACUUGUACUUGUUUUGCAAUCCACCUGACAAUGGAAGAGAAAUCUUGUUUGGUCCAUGUUUUCUUGUGACACAUGCAUUAAACAGACCCAGUUCUAUGCUUUCAACCAGCUCUCUGAUUCACUGGGCUAUCCUGUAAUCAGACCCUUGCCUGAGUGGUCUGUUGGAUGUAUUGAUUUAAAUCUAAAAAGUAAGCAUUUGAGGGGGGAAAGUGUCUUCAACAAGAAUUAUGUUUGUGUGAUUGGUAUAAAACCAUUUAUGGAUGUAUUACCAGGCCACUACAGUAUGUUCACUCUUGGUUUACUUCUCAAGGCCAUGUAUCCUUGUCUAAAGCCUGCAGAACCCAUACAGUCCUUCCCAUCUGUGUGUCCUUCACAGCGAGUUUUUCCUGCCUUUGUCUUCACUUUCUCUCAGAGACUGUCUGCUGCUUUGGCUGAUCAACAGACAAAUCCAUCCCCUCAUGACUGGGCCUCAAGUCACACUGCUGUGUUUUUCUUUCAUGUCCGGCCAUCCUGUUUACCACUUUGAUGUCAGAUACUUUUUUCUGCGAGUUAACACUUUAUACCUCACCUGUAGAACGGCCCCAGAUGGAUGGCGGCAGGCGUGCCUGUGUUCCCAUGCCAUCUGCUCAUUAUCUGCCUGGAAUGCACCCCCAAUGUCCAACCACACCCCGGAGACUGAGUCAUACUACUCACACAUAUAAGAACACAUAUAGCCAGGGGUGGACAUGUAUGUAUACUCUUGUUGGUUCGGAGUGGGGAAAGAGGGUUUCUUUCACAUCAGCAGCUUGGUAGAAGAUGGAAAAGGAUGUUAUGAUACAUGACUGUCUGUAAAAGCAUCCUAAAACUUUUUAAAACUGUAAAUGUCUGUUUUAUCUUUCAUUCAUACUAGACUAUUGUUAGCAAGGGACCUCUUAUGAUUUAAGAUUUUACUCCCACAUAUGCUUUGCAGUGCAUUUGCAUGGAAUAAACAGCUUCUGUCUUCCUCUUACAUUUCCAAUUCAAAUCCAAAAGAUUAUCUGCCGAUCUGACUGAAAUGCGACGGAUCUCCAUGCUGAGCAGCUGCAAGAGCUGUUGGAAUUUGCACACAUUUGCAAAAAAAGUAGAAUUGCAAGGCCAUCAAUGCCUGUAAUCUCAUUCAGAUUUACGUUUUGGCAGAUUUAGUUAAUAUGCAUGUGAAAUAUGGAAAAAAGACAGACCUGUGGACAUGUAAAAUGUGUGGUGUCACGUCUUUCCUCACAGAUAUGUAAUUGUAAGUAGAUAUGUGUAGGGUGACCAUAUGUCCUCUUUUACCCGGACAUGUCCUCUGUUGGGGGACUGUUCGGCCUGUCCAGGGGGAGUUUUUAAAAUCCUUCAAAUGUCUGGGGUUUUGUGUGGAAGCCCUUUUUUUUUCCACUGGCUGAAACAGUCUCUCAUAGUUUUGACUUUGUGUAGCGUAGACUUAAUCUUCCCAUCACAGGCCAUUGUAUUUACCAUACAUGUUCAAUGGUUCAUUUGGAAACACACUCUGAGAGGCAGAGUUCCACCCCAAACCCCGGAACAUGUAUUCAUCUAUUAUAAAACAGUGCAGCGCAUCAGUGCUCUCUGCCCCUCCGCUCAGUUCUAAGCCAAGCCACUGACACGACACACUCAUGCACUGUCUGCUGGUGAGCCAACGAACAGGGAGAAAAACACUCUACCCAACCGAAAAACCCUCAAGAUUUUGCAUGCACACAACUACGCCCCCCGUAGUCGUGUCCUCUUUUUAGGGAUUCAGAAUAUAGUCACCCUAGAUAUGUAAGAGUUUGAAUCAUAGGUGUCAUGGCGGAGGCUGCAGAUAAAGGUGCUGCUCCUCCAAGGAAAAGUAGAAUAAAACUGAAGAUUUACUCUAUAGCUGGUGAAAAACUGUAAUGGAAGAUGAAUUCUUGAACUUUCUCAGUUAAAAUGAAAACUUUCAACCAGGAUGAUGUCAUUUUAAUGACUGUGAAUCACUUUGGGUCAGAAUGAAUCGAGAGCUCAAGUUAAGUUUUGUUUGGAUUCUGUCCACAUAUCACUUCAUGUUUUGUUGUGCAUAAUGGGCAGCAAAAGAAUGUGAACAACAAAGAACAAGUUAAAGUUUAAAACAACGAAAGUUGCUGCUUAACUGCUUAACAAGGUUGGCGAAAACAUUUUUUGAUUUGUAUCUAAUCGCUUGUAAGAACUACCAAGACUUCCAGUAGCCUAGACGUCUCCUGGGUACUGGAAGAAAGGGAACAAUUGGGUAUGGAUCAACCAUGAAACACGCUAUGUCUGCAGGCAUAUGUAAGGACCUAUGUAUGGUUCGGGCAGGAUUAAAUCAACAACUAUGCCUAAUAAAAAAAAGAUAAAGAAGUUGUGAAAGGUUAGCCCAUAAGCUCUUUUAUGAGAGAACGUGAAUGCAUAUUUAUGUUGGGGAAUUUGAAGUCUGAUACCUCAGAUGAUGGGUCUGUAUUUGGAAGACAUCAUAAUCAGGUCUGUGUAAACAACAAGCUAGUUCUAUCAAGCAAAGUGAUGUUACCAGCUAACAGCUAUACAUAUACAGUAUUAGUAAAGCAUGACAUACAACAUCCUCGCUGGAUCAAUAUGUACAGCUAAUGCUCAUGAGUGCUUAAUGGAGGCUGAGAUCCUUUAUAGUCUGGCCCCAACAGAUCAUAUACCUCUCUCCAUGACAUUGGACCAAGUAUAGCUCUCUGACUGAUUGAAGUCUCAGUAAUAUUAAUAUAACACUCUCUUGUGAAACAACAAGAAAGACGAGUACGACUCUUAUAUAUUACGAAUGUAUAAAAAAUAGUAAACUACUUAAAUAAUGGCAGUGAGCACUGUACACAAGAAAAAACAAAUCAUUAGUCCAGGGUGGAAUGAACAUCUAUAAGAGCUUCACACAGAGGCACACAAAAAAGCCUUGCACAGCUGGGUCUUAGCUGGAAAAUAUGGCUCAGAGUUUGAACAUAAGAAGAAGGCAAAUGCAAAGUUUAAAUAUGCAGUAAGUUUUAUUUUGAAAAAUGAGCAGAUGAUGAGGGUAAAUUCCAUGGCAAAAAAACUGCAGCAGACUGAUGUCUAUGAGUUCUGGAAAGAUGUUAAAGCCUCCAAUAGCAGUAAGAUGCCUCUGCCAUCUAAUAUUGAUGGGAUCUCUGGGGAUGAAAAUAUUGCUGAGCUGUGGGGAACACAUUUUUAGGGGAAUUUUUUACUGUGUUGAGAGUGCUGAGUAUAAGGUUGGCGAUUUAGUUAACAGGCGUAGUCAACUCCUCGGUAAGAAAUAUCACUCAAGGCUGACCUAGAAGUCGCUAGACCACUUCAUCUGCUUUCAUGUCAGAGUCUCCAAACUUCAGAAAAAGUCACUAGAUUUGAUGCUAGUCACUUUUGACAAAAAAAAAAAUAAAUGUCACUGGGGGGUCUAAAAAGUUGUUAAAUAUCGUGACAUAGUCGUUAAGUUGGCAACACUGGUGGUCAAUAAUGAUGAUAUGACUAUUUUGGCAAGUGAAGUGCUCUGUGCAAUUAGGAAACUGGCCAUGAACAAAGCAUGUGGUCCUGACAAAAUGACAGCUGAACACCCGAAAUAUGCUAGCCACAGACUCCCAGUGUCACUUGCCAUGUGUUUGUUUGGAUUGUUGUUUCAUGGCAUAUUACCUGACUCCAUGCUAUCUGUAUUUCUAGCACCAACCAUCAGACUAAACUUGAAAAGCAUCAAGCAUAGAUAAGUACAGACCAACUGCUUUGGCUUGUAUACUAUCCAACAGAUCUUGCAUGAUAGGCUUCGAGAAUUAUGCAAUAACAACUGAUAAGCAAUUUGGAUUCAAAAACAAGCAUGGCACUGACUUGUGUAUUUGUGCCUUUAAAGAACUUGUUGCUAAUUAUAUAUUGCAUAAUACAUCAGUGUUUGUGUUUUUUUUUUUAGAUGUGUCUAAAGCCUUUGACCACACUGAUUAUGGCAGAUUGUAUAUCAAGCUGUGAGAGCGAGGAGUGCCCCCAUAUUUAAUGAAAAUUCUGCAUAAUUGGUACUUUCACUCAACCAUGCAAGUUAGAUUGGGUAAAACCAUGUCAAUACCAUUUCCUGUUACUAAUGGAGUCAGACAAGGUAGAUUGGGUAAAACCAUGUCAACCCCAUUUCCUGUUACUAAUGGAGUCAAACAAGGUGGGAUAUUGUCACGUUUCCUUUUGAACCUGUAUAUGCAUGAUCUGUUUAGAGAGUUAGAUGAGUGUAAGACAGGAAGUACGGUGGGGAACCAGCUUAUUAAUCAAUUAAUGUAUGCUGAUGACAUAAUCAUGAUAACAUCAUUAUAUCACCUUAUUGUGCUGGUUUAUAGCAACUGCUCUGAAUUUGUAUCAAAUAUUGUAUGCAGAAGGACAUGAAAUUUAAUCCCAAAAAGAGUGUCAUCAUGAUAGCCAGAACUAAGGAGGAUCAGAGGCUAAAGUCAUAUGAUCAGGGAUAACUUAAAUGACGAAGAGCUUCAGCAUCAGUGCUAUAAACUGUAUGCCCAGGCAAAUAUGCUGGCACACAAAUUUGAUAUGUGCACUGAUGAUUUCAAAACAGCCCCUUUUAGAGCCUACUGCACCUCACUUCACACAGCAUAUCCACGGUGUAGUCAUAGUAAGGGGAAG